rnacentral:rRNA from 1 species
GAUGAACGCCGGCGGCGUGCCUAAUACAUGCAAGUCGAGCGAACAGACGAGGAGCUUGCUCCUCUGACGUUAGCGGCGGACGGGUGAGUAACACGUGGAUAACCUACCUAUAAGACUGGGAUAACUUCGGGAAACCGGAGCUAAUACCGGAUAAUAUAUUGAACCGCAUGGUUCAAUAGUGAAAGACGGUUUUGCUGUCACUUAUAGAUGGAUCCGCGCCGCAUUAGCUAGUUGGUAAGGUAACGGCUUACCAAGGCAACGAUGCGUAGCCGACCUGAGAGAGUGAUCGGCCACACUGGAACUGGGACACGGUCCAGACUCCUACGGGAGGCAGCAGUAGGGAAUCUUCCGCAAUGGGCGAAAGCCUGACGGAGCAACGCCGCGUGAGUGAUGAAGGUCUUCGGAUCGUAAAACUCUGUUAUUAGGGAAGAACAAAUGUGUAAGUAACUAUGCACGUCUUGACGGUACCUAAUCAGAAAGCCACGGCUAGCUACGUG